GUUUGCACUUAUCGGGGAAGGGUGAGAACCUUCGAUUAAGGUUCGACUCGAGCGAAAGCGAGAGAACGUUGCCAACGGCAACGGCCCGUAGGG
rnacentral:sRNA from 1 species